CCCCUCCAGCACAAUCUUAUCGCCACAUAGCACCCUCGGGAUUUCUCCACUAGCUACUGUCCUGUAGCCUCUCGAAUCCAGUUUACUUAGUGAAAUAAGUUUUCGCUUGAAAUCGGAUAUGUAUCGGACCUCCCCCAAUCUCCUCACUACACCAUCAUGUGUCCUCCAACUGACCGUCCCAAUGCCUUUGAUCACAUAGCUCGAUCCAUCUGGCAGAUAUACAGUGACCUCACUAUUCUCCAGAGAGUC
rnacentral:lncRNA from 1 species